CGUUGAGGCGGUUCCGUAAGUUGGGCGUUAAAGCUCCGGGCUUAACCCGGAGAGGCCGUUCAAUACUGCGGGGCUUGAGGACAGCAGAGGGAGAUGGAAUUCCCGGUGUAGCGGUGAAAUGCGUAGAUAUCGGGGGGAACACCAGUGGCGAAGGCGGUCUCCUGGGCUGUUCCUGACGCUGAAUGCGAAAGCUAGGGGAGCGAACG
rnacentral:rRNA from 1 species